rnacentral:sRNA from 1 species
CAUUAAGAGCUUAAAGAUGCAACAACAACAGCAGCAGCAACACGAUAGAUAUAAAAAAUCAGAGCAAUUCCCACAGAAUCGGCAAAGGCAUUAGCCGAGGCGCGAGUACACGUAACGUGAUUAACAUGGGACUCCACACACACACACACACACACACACGCACCCAUACAGCGACUAUGAUCUGGGCAUUGGAGAUGAUAGAGCAACUAUCGGGUGGGCUUAGAAUCUAUCGUCAGAAAUGGAGUUAUAUCACUUGUAGGAUACAAUUUCGCUUCCCUCUUUCCUUGCCACCCACUGGAUCUGCCCGAAAGGCGACUUCCCAGGUUUGUCCCAUCUCUAAUAUGGCGGCUCUCUCCCCAGUGCAUUCAAUCAGCGUACAACGGCAUUUUGAGAGCAGCGCCAGAGGCAGCGACGCAGCAGCGAUAGCAACAGCGGUCAACCACACUCGCAGUGUUUGAGGAAGCGAGCCUAGAGCGAAAGAGAGAGAGAGGGAAGGAGGGAAGGAGAGAAGCAGCAGAGCAGAUCAGCAGCUGAACGAGAGACGACGAGCGUGUGAGUGCAAUUGCAGGUGUUUGGCCAAACAAUUGCUGUGGCACGCUUAUAUUCUCACUGGCCCCUGCCUUCCCGGCCUUCCCGGCCUCCCUCUUUCGCUCAAUCACCAUCACAAUCACACUUAACUGUCUCCCUCCCAUCUCACUAUCUCACCAUCACACUUUUCCCGCUCUCUCUCUCUCUCUCUCUCCCUCUCUGUCUAUCGGUAUUCGAGUGGUAUGUCUCUGUUAUGUUAUUAACAUGCUGUUAAUUUGAUUGAAAAAUGCUUUAUGGCAAUGCCCCGCGCCGCAGUCCCCCUCCCUCGCACCUCAUGCCUAUUUUAUACCCUGCCAGUGGGUUUAUUGGUGCCAACCAAAUGAGAACGAUCUCUCCCUUCAAAGAGGGUAUCGCAAGCUUCGAGCUCUCGCAAGGAUUUUAUUUCUUUCUAGUGGCCGUUUUGUGGGUUUGCCAUUUGUACGUUUUUGGACGAGUGAAAGUGAAAAUUACGAAAAUUAUACACAAAUCGAUGGCACCGCAGCAGCAGUGGCAGCAUCGGGUAGUAUAACGGCACAGAAAAAUGGAUGAAAAUUCAUCAAAGAAAAGAAAAUUGGAUGGCAACGAUCCGAGUGGUGGUGUCCAGAGCAAGACAACAACAAACAAGCUAACAAACAAACAAACAAACAAACAACCAGUGCCAGCUGUUUGACUGCUGCUGCUGCUGCUGCUGCACAUGCCCCCAAACUGUGGCAACUGUUGCAAGUUCAACUCUAACAGAAGUGCACCACAUUCUUUGGACUAUGCUGCUGCUUCUGCCACUUCCUCAAUGUGUGUGUUUGUGUGUGUGUCAAACUAGACAAGUUCUACUUUCCACAACUAGUUCUUGUUGUGGUUUUUCCUUGUGGCAAGCCUCAGAGCGUCUCCCAGGAAUCCGCUGCCGGUAAUUGGGGACACCUGCAUGUGCCAAAUUCUGGUUUUCCAGUUUUCCCCCCAGCAGGAAAACCCGUUCCAAAUGGAUUCUCAAAGAUUCGGGAAGCAUCAGGCCUCUGUGUGUGUCUGUGUGUGUGUGCCCCAUUUCUGUGGCACCUAAAGCCGUAGAUAAGUAAAGUUCUGGGACUGGGUCACAAGGAUCAACAGAACUGAAGAACCUUUAAACGACUCGCAGUCUUUUGGAGAAUAUUUUAUACAUUUUAUGUACAUAUAUAGGAACCUCUACAGCGAUCCAUUCAGUAGAUGUUUUGAUUGAAAUCCGUGAAUGAAAGCACACACCACACACCCAACCACCACCCACUGUGCCUGGCACUCUUUUGCGCAGUUUUUCCGACUGUUUGCCAGCGGGAGACAGAAACAGAAACAGAAACAGCAACAGCAGCUGUUUGCCCCCAUCCCAUCCUCUCAAGCAAGUGCCAUAUCGGUAAACAGAUUAUUUAGUUUGUUUUUCUGCUGUUUCUGUUUCUGGUGCUGCUUCUGUUUCUGUUUCUGCGGCUUAUCAAUUCGACCCUCGGACAUGAUUUACUUCACUGCCAGUGCUUUUUUAUAUACACAAAAAUUGAGCAAUUAAAUGUUGCAAAAUAUUCGUGCGCUUUCAUUUCCAGUGAAAUCCAAAAGGGGGGAUGGGAAAUAUUUGCAAUGAAUUUCCAAUGACAGGUCCAUGGAUUGCUCUCCGUCGCUCUCCUUUUGUCUCUCUGCGAGACACACAAAGGGAAAAUAUUACACGAAAGGGUCGUUGGGCAUUGACAAUCAUUUAAUUAACUUUCUGUUGCUGCUGCUGUUGUUGUUGCUCGGUUAUAUAACACUUUAUUUACCUCCUACCCUAUGCCGUGUGCACUGCCCCCCCUACGCCUAACAUUCAUGGCACACGGACGCUCGCUCGUCUCUGGGGCACAUUUAAUUGCUGCAAUUGAUGGGUUCAAUUGUGCAAAUUAAUGCGCUGACUCUUGCCACUGCCAGCCGCGGCACGUCGUUGAUCGAUAUGGCCAUUGGAGUAGUUAGAUUGUAGUCCUGGGAUGGAGGCUAUGGUUCUGCCUCCACCUGGAGUUGGGUAUCGUCGAAUGGCAAAGAAGAAACCCCUAGCUUUUACCCAGCUUCUCUGCUGUAAAGCCCCAACGAGGUGUCAUUCAAGUACAACGCUUUUUUGCGCAGCGUAAAAUCUACAUAAACGAAUCACGAUUCCCGCUCCCGGUCCGGUGAUAGCUUAUCAGCCUUUCCCAUCGGGGGAGGAGAAGCAAUCUCAUUCCACAUGAGAGGAAAGGAGAGGAGGAGGAUGCGGAGGAGGAGGAGGAGCAGGGAGGAAGCACACACUUAAUAGAUACAAAUUGAAUUUAAUGAAAUGCAUCUCCGAGUUGCAGGAAAACUUUUGCAAAACAAAAAAUCGCAGAAACAAAGAGAAAUAACUGGGGAAGGAGGGAAAAUGCAAGCAGAGAGAGAGAAA